CUGUCUCAAAAAAUAAGUAAGGAGAAAAUACAAAUUUAAAAAGCAGGAAGGAUGACCUGAAAGAAAGGGAAAUAAAACCUAGUGUUUGUCAAGUAAUACAAAACUUUUAACUAGAAGGAGUAAGUUGAGGAGAUCUAUACUACAGUGUAGCAACUGUAGUUUCAGUCCUGAAAAUUGUUAGGGAAUUUUUACCACAAAAUAAGUAUAUAAGGCAAAGCUACAUAAAUUAAGCCAUUUUGUGACACAUAAGUACUUCUCAUUAUGUACAUAAAACCCAUAAAAUAACAAAAGUUAGUUUUCCAGUAAUUUUUGAAAGCUAAGUGACAUUGUAUGUGUAUUUGUGGAGUUUCUGAAUUUGGGAAAUGCUUGUUUAACCCCCCUUUAAGUAUGAUUACAUCCUGUGAGUAGAUUUGCAGAGUUCUGUGUGUGUGUGUGUCUGUGUGUGUGUGUGUGUGUGUGUGUGUACACACGAGAGCGCACGUGUGUUCACAUUGCUGUAUGCAUACAUGCUGAUGAAGUGCUCAAUUGUGGGAAUAGCCCUAAGUCAGUCUUUCCUUCUCCCUGUUUUAUGUAUUAAGAAAAAAAAAUUGAUUUCUAGGUUUAUUAUUCUCAAGGUCCUUUGUUCAUUCCUGGAAGAUAGGCCUUUGGGAAUGGGAAGCAUUCCUUUAGAGCAGUUUAUUUAAAUGACUUCUCAGAAUUAACCUCCACAGUGGGACCUGAAUUCUGAACACAAAGCUGUUCCUUUUCUGUUUCCACAACACAGGAAGAAAAUCGUGAACUUCUAGGGUGUCAACAGUCUUCUUACUGUUUUUCAUAAUGAUCCAAAGUGUGAAUAUCCUCAAAUCUGAGCCCUAUAAUUCUGAUUCGUUAGACCUGUGAGUAUUAAAAUCCCAUAAGAGGCCAGCUUGCAAUAUGCUCACUCUGCUCCACACACAAAAAAAUAUGUAAGGGAGAGUGUAGCAGAGUGACAUUUUAGUGAUAGGAAUUUAAUAAUUAUUGAACAGAAGAAGUUCUGUGCACAUCUAUUCUGGCUAAAGCACUUUUAUAGACUAAACUUCUGUGGUGUGUGUGUGUGGGGGGGGGUGCUCCAGGAUUUGUUGUUUUAAAACUAUUUUUCUCUUCAUCCUUCUAUGUGCCAGCAAGGAGCUAGGGUCUCUGCAAUCAGUUUGAUGUCACUAGACCCCUACCAAAGGCAGUCAACUGGUCAGAAAAACCAAGGGAGCUCUCAGGACAAUGUAUUCCAGAAGCCCCUCUCUGGAAACAUGCUUGAUCCACGGAAACUCUCCUAAUGAGUCAAGGAGCUGGAAAUCUCUGCCCCUGGGCUUUCUCCUGCACCUGCCCCACCCACAUCAGAGGCUAAGGCCCAGAGGAGCAUCAGGACCUGUUCCUGUUUUGCUAUUUAUAAUGAAGGAGAGCGGUGACAACCCAAAGCUCUAGCACAGCGGCAGGAACCUCCGGGGCUACUUUUCACAACAGCCAAAAAAAAAAAAAAAAAAAAAAAAAAACCCA